rnacentral:rRNA from 1 species
AUUGAACGCUGGCGGCAUGCCUUACACAUGCAAGUCGAACGGCAGCACGGACUUCGGUCUGGUGGCGAGUGGCGAACGGGUGAGUAAUAUAUCGGAACAUACCCUAGAGUGGGGAUAACGUAGCGAAAGUUACGCUAAUACCGCAUACGAACUAAGGUUGAAAGUGGGGGAUCGCAAGACCUCAUGCUCAUGGAGUGGCCGAUAUCUGAUUAGCUAGUUGGUGAGGUAAAGGCUCACCAAGGCGACGAUCAGUAGCUGGUCUGAGAGGACGACCAGCCACACUGGAACUGAGACACGGUCCAGACUCCUACGGGAGGCAGCAGUGGGGAAUUUUGGACAAUGGGGGCAACCCUGAUCCAGCAAUGCCGCGUGAGUGAAGAAGGCCUCGGUUGU